rnacentral:rRNA from 1 species
GACGAACGCUGGCGGCGUGCUUAACACAUGCAAGUCGCACGGUAAGGCCCUUCGGGGUACACGAGUGGCGAACGGGUGAGUAACACGUGGGUGAUCUGCCCUGCACUUCGGGAUAAGCCUGGGAAACUGGGUCUAAUACCGGAUAGGACCACUGCCUGCAUGGGUGGUGGUGGAAAGCUUUUGCGGUGUGGGAUGGGCCCGCGGCCUAUCAGCUUGUUGGUGGGGUGAUGGCCUACCAAGGCGACAACGGGUAGCCGGCCUGAGAGGGUGACCGGCCACACUGGGACUGAGAUACGGCCCAGACUCCUACGGGAGGCAGCAGUGGGGAAUAUUGCGCAAUGGGCGCAAGCCUGAUGCAGCGACGCCGCGUGAGGGAUGACGGCCUUCGGGUUGUAAACCUCUUUCAGCACCGACGAAGCGCAAGUGACGGUAGGUGCAGAAGAAGGACCGGCCAACUACGUGCCAGCCGCCGCCGUAA